AUGAAGCAAUUCAGCGAGCUCUGCGUCGUCGAUACUCUGCUUCGAUUGCCCCAUGAUCUAAUUCAGUGGAGAGGAAUUUUACUACCGCAACAAGGCAGCAACCAGAACCACUUACUAGAUCCUGCUGCCGCCACAGAAAUCCGCCUCCAAAUCAGCACCACCCGGGCACGUACCUGGAAUUUCACCACAAGAACAGUGUGUUCUGGCAACCAGUCUGCCAUCCGAGCUGCCGACGAAUUUGCUCCACCGCCUGCGCCGCCUUCACCGCUGCCGAACGACACCAACGCCUCUAAAUCAGGGUGGGAAUGGGAGGGAAAAAAUUUCAGCACUGCGCCUUGCGAUCACGCCGCCGAGAGAACGUAUGGCUCAUGA
rnacentral:rRNA from 1 species